rnacentral:misc_RNA from 1 species
AGUCUAUGACUUGUGAUUAGAAAAUAUAUGUUUGUGUAAGAGAAUUAAAGUAAUUUAUGCACAGAGGAAGAGUGAUGCUACACUCAUUCACAUGCAGGAAACAAGGAUAACUUCUGAUUGACAUUUAGUUUUGUUUGAAAUUUUAAAACAUGAUUUUAUUUUUUAUUCUUUUUGGUAAUAGGUUUAAAAAAUUAGGAGUCAUUUUAUACUAGAAUGAAGUUCAAAACUGUUCUGGAAGGACAGGAGGCAGUAAUCUUGAACUACCUUGGAGAGGGAAGACUGGUCAAGGGACCUCAAAGGGUCUUUUUAUUCAGAGAAAGAUUGCAAUACUUGAAGAAACACACAGCAGAUCCUUAUCAAUACAUAGUUGUUAAAGACAGAGAUGGACUAGUUCAACAUAAGCCUGGACCAUGCUUUGUUUUCAACAACCCCCUAUUGUAUGAAUCUGUGACCGUGAAAGAAAGCACCAAGAUCGAUGCCAACCAUCUGAUUGUUGUGUACAAACGUCUGAAAGAAUCAGAUGUAGAGAGAAGAGUUGUUCAGGGACCAACUGUGUUUGUGCCAGAGGCUGAAGAAUGGAUUCAUACGUUUACAUGGCAUGGAACAGACCCCCUGGAGAAGACCAGGAUGAUCCCGGGGCAAAGUGUAUUUCAAAAGCUGGCCGUCAUUCCAGAUCAGUUCUACUACAAUGUCAAGGAUGUGAGAACACAAGAUGACACCAUGAUAACUGUAAAACUAAUGCUGUUUUAUGAACUGAAAGAUGUGACCAAAAUGCUCAACACCACAACAGAUCCUAUAGCAGAUAUGAUAAAUGCUGUAUGUGCAGAUGUCAUUGCUUUUGCUGGGAAAGUUUCGUUUGAAGAGUUUCUGAAUCGGACCCAGAUCCUGAGUGAUAUUUCAACCUUCCCCCAACUGACCCAGCGGGCUGACAAGAUCGGGUACAGCAUUCAGAAGGUUGUCUUCAGGGGCUACCAUGCCAGUGAUAGUCUCCAGGCAAUGCAGAAUGCUGCAAUCGAAUCACGAACACAACUUCGCCUAGAAUCAGAGAUUGAGGAACAGAAAGCUAAGCUUGCUGACUUUCAGCUUUCUAAAGAACAAGAGAGAACCAAAUUAGUUCAUGACAUGGAGAAGACCAAACAAGAUCAUAAACAGAAGAAAGCUGAGUUAGAGCAGCAACACAUACUGGAAAUGAGACAAAUUGAACACCGCAACCUGUUGGAGACAACUGCUCUCUUCACAAAGGCAAAUCAAGAAUUGAAUGCAGCAGAUAAGGCUUGGGAUUGUGAAUUCUUGGAGAAAUUAAAUGAUAUGAAUGUUAACUUAACUGAUUAUCUCAACACCAAAAAUGGUCCCCAAAUCACUGAGGAAAUUAGAGUUGUUACCACAGACACCGACUGGAUAAAAGCAAGCUAAAACAUCAGGUUUAAUUUAUCAUAAAAUGUGGAAAAAAUUUGAUUUAAAAGAAGUUUCAUUUACAAAAACCUCAAAAGGAUUUUUUAAAAUUUUAGAUUUGGCAUUUCUAUCAAAAGGAAUGUUAAGAUUACCGAUAUGUUUUGUAAGAAAACUUCAUUUUAAUUGUUGUUUAAAAAUAAGACACUUUAUAAGAUUAUGAUGGUACUUCAAUUUGGAGACGGAUUCAUGAUGCUUAAAAUUGUAUUUAACACUAUUUAAUUUGAAUAAAACGAUCAUGUUUAUAAUGAGAUUUUAUUUGUUAUGUAAUUUUAUCCUAUUCUUUUUUAUAUAUCACUUUAUAAGUUAUACAUUUUUUUCUAUGCAUUUUUAUUUCACAGAAUCUUUUUACAAUUAGUUUUUGAGAAAUCCACAUCAAUGAUAUGAUAAUGCAACAUCAGUGUCAAAAUUGUCUUCUUUUAAGCUUUUUAUCUUUGUUAAGGCACAUGAAUGAAGAACAAUUUAAUAUUUUACUUCAACCAUUGAUAUUAAUUCCUAUUAUACAAUACCUGGUAUUCAAAUGAUUAGAGAAUAUGAAACAUUCUUGAUAUCAUUGACUUCUCCCUUUGUUAGCAUGUUGACUGUGAUUUGCCAUAAUAAUAUUUCAUGUUAAUUUAAGUGCAUUUUGUGUCAUGCAUUAAUAUUUUGGGGAAGAAGGUGUUUAUUACUCUGAGUUAAUAAAUACAAGGAAACAAGGAAUAUGAAAUAAAAUUUAAAAAUUGGCCUUUCUCUACACUCCCAUAUCUCUCCUCACUCACAUCUUCCUGUCCAUCUUGAUAAGGAAAAAUGAUGUAUAUUGAAGAAAAGUGAUUAGGCUUCGCCCACCGACAACCGAUUUUUUUAGAGGUUGGGAAGGGGGGGGGUUAGAAGAUGUGUUUAACUGAAUACCCCUAAAAUAAAACACCAAUUUUUCGAGAUAUAUUUAAUAUACAUGUUCAUAUUGUUUGAACUGCCAGUUUAUUGGUGACUUUGAUUUUGAACGCUAUGUAUUCCGAGAAUUGGUGUUUGAUGUGGAUUACUUACAAUUAAAUAAAAAAAUGUUUGUCGCUGUCAUCUCUGUUUGUAUUAUGUAAAUUCUGUCGUACUUCGUUGAGAAUGAGAUUAUUAUUAGUCAUUAUUUAUUAUUUAAACAUUGACAUGAAGAAAUGUAUUUUUUACGCGAAAUUGUCCUUAUUGUGAUAUUUUAGUUAUAUUUCAGAUAAUACAUUAUUAAUGAUCCGAGACGAUUUUUCACAUUAUUGUAAACCUUGUAUGAUGAACAUGUUCUAAUAAAUGUUUAAUAUU